rnacentral:rRNA from 1 species
UGAGGAAUAUUGGGCAAUGCCCGCAAGGGUGACCCAGCAACGCCGCGUGGAGGAUGAAUGUCGUAAGAUUGUAAACUCCUGUUAGAGGGGAAGAAUAGUACCGGUUGGACCGGUAUAUGACUGUACCCUCAGAGAAAGCCCCGGCUAACUACGUGCCAGCAGCCGCGGUAAUACGUAGGGGGCAAGCGUUGUCCGGAUUUACUGGGUGUAAAGGGCGCGCAGGCGGGAUAAAAAGUCAGUGGUGAAAUCCUACAGCCUAACUGUAGAACUGCCUUUGAUACUUUGAUUCUUGAGUUCGGGAGAGAGAGACGGAAUUCCAGGUGUAGUGGUGAAAUACGUAGAUAUCUGGAAGAACACCAGUUGCGAAGGCGGUCUCUUGGUCCGACACUGACGCUGAGGCGCGAAAGCGUGGGGAGCAAACA